rnacentral:ncRNA from 2 species
UAGUGAACCUCUGUGAACGGUCUUUUCCCGGCAACGGGAAAAGCUAAGAGGGAACGUGGUGCGGAAUUUCGCCUAAACCACGGCUGCCCCCGCAACUGUAAGCGGCCUUCCACCUUUGGAUGAAGGAUGGAGCGUCCGGCGCAUAAAGCCACUGAAGAUAUCUUCGGGAAGGCGGCGCAGGCACGAUGGUCGCGAGCCAGGAGACCUGCCGUUUAUGCAUGAAAUCC